AUUGAACGCUGGCGGCAGGCCUAACACAUGCAAGUCGAACGGUAACAGGAAGAAGCUUGCUUCUUUGCUGACGAGUGGCGGACGGGUGAGUAAUGUCUGGGAAACUGCCUGAUGGAGGGGGAUAACUACUGGAAACGGUAGCUAAUACCGCAUAACGUCGCAAGACCAAAGAGGGGGACCUUCGGGCCUCUUGCCAUCGGAUGUGCCCAGAUGGGAUUAGCUAGUAGGUGGGGUAACGGCUCACCUAGGCGACGAUCCCUAGCUGGUCUGAGAGGGUGACCAGCCACACUGGAACUGAGACACGGUCCAGACUCCUACGGGAGGCAGCAGUGGGGAAUAUUGCACAAUGGGCGCAAGCCUGAUGCAGCCAUGCCGCGUGUAUGAAGAAGGCCUUCGGGUUGUAAAGUACUUUCAGCGGGGAGGAAGGGAGUAAAGUUAAUACCUUUACUCAUUGACGUUACCCGCAGAAGAAGCACCGGCUAACUCCGUG
rnacentral:rRNA from 1 species